UGUUACUAUAGAAACGAUGACAUCGCCAUACCAUUUAAUGCUGGGGAAGGUACACGAAGCGACGCCAUAACGAGUCCCUGUUGAACGAGGUGUUACUAUGGAAACGAUAACCGCGUCAGAACAAACACAUGACCGUAAACCUGUGAUUUUCAUCAUUAGAGCCGCUGUUAUUUAAAAAUGAAAUGAUACAAAAAUCGACCAAUCAGAAGCGAGAAUUCAACACCACUGUGGUAUAACUUUGUGUAAGCAUGUUGCGUUAAACCGUUUACAGCAUCGUUACACAUGUACACACUUUUAUGCGACUCAUGAAGCGAGAUCUCAACUCGUUCUUUCUUUCUUUCUUUCCUCAGUCACAGAUAAGAUCUCUCUCUCUCUCUCUCUCACUCUCACUCUCUCUCUGAGAGACAUUAAGGCUGUAAGCUAAGGGAGGAGAUGAAGAAUAUCAUGUACUCUUGAGCUCGAUGUGUUUUUCUCGCUCCCUCCCUCCUGCCCAUCAGACGGGUAACAAAUGCAGCAGUGCCGCCAUAAAGAAUAAAGAGAGGAGGAGGAGACGAGGCCGAGAGGGCAACAUUCGUCUGACGGCGACCUCAGACGACGUGGGGAAGAGCUUAAGCUCUCUCCUGGACUCUCCGUCUGUCUCGGUCUCGAAGCCGACAGAAAGAGAGGAGGAGAUGAGCUGGAUUUGGGGUUUUUGUGAUACACGGAUGUCGUAUCAUCAGAUAAUAAAGUGUAUGGCAGAGUCUGCUAAGUGAAUUUCGUUAAAGUUAUGUUUCAUGAAAGCUUGAAAGAGAGAAAAAAAAAACCCAGUUUGAUCUCAAGCUACAAAAAAAAAAAAUCAUGAAUUUCUGAAUCAUAUUUGUUAACUGAAGUUCUCGAAUCUCGAUUCUGAUUGGCCGGAAAGUGUUGAUUCAUGUCCUAGAAGAGCAGCUCUGACACUAGUUCUGGCUGUAGUGCAAACCCCAGAUUUAUAAGAAUGUACUCUUUAAUACCUUAUCGUUUCUAUAGUAACAGCUUACAUCUAAUGAACAGAUUUAAAAACGUGAUGUUGUUCAACAGGCGGGGAAACAGAGUCUAAUCAUCAAUGGUGAAGUUUUCUGUUCAUGGAAGGAGUCUCCAGUGUCAGAGGUUGGACUACUGCAACGGUCAUGCUUACUGCUCUCAAUAAAAAGAACAUUAAAAAAAAUAAAAAAAAUGAACGCAGGUAGAAUGCUCACCAAGACAAAGAAAAUUCCCUGCUAGCCAAGGGGUGGAAACAACUCGAGUAACUGUACUUCGUUAAUACACGUAAGUAUUAUUUUUGCAAUAUUUAUACUGUCAUUGUGUGUUAUUGAUAUUGAAUACAUGUCCAAAAAAAACAUGUUACCAAUUUUGAAGGACGUCAUUCAUCCACCAAUGGCAGUACACUAUACAUGAGUAGAACUUGCUCUGGCACGGUUUAUUGACAUUUCAGUUUAAUGCAUCCAGUCAAGUUAUCAAUCAAAUCUCAUGCUCCACAAUGUAUUUAGUUCUAUAGCUAUUCAUGUUUGUCUGAAGAUGGAAAAUCCACUGGACUGCAUUGUGGAACUUGAGCAUGAGCGGCCCUGACCCUGUACCUCAGUAAAAUAUUUCAAUAUGCUGGAGAAAUAAGCAAAGACUCAUAUAUAAAAACACUUCCCUAGAUGGCAUGAACUCUGUCUAAUUUGGAAAAAAAAAAAAGGUUCAAGUCUUGCUAGCUAGUGUUGCUAAUGUGAACUGCCUAUUCUUAACCAAGUUUGCCUGAGUGCUGUGCUAAUGUCAAGUGAGACUAGCAUAGGUUACAUUGGCUAACAUAACUAGCUAGGAAAAAUGGCAAGUUAGACACUAGCUAAUGGUAAAUAUUGGUCAUUCGCAAACGUUGUAGCAUUAGUCAUUCCUAUAUACUAGUAGACUUUUUAAUUAGAUUUCACAUGAAAACGCAUGCCGAUAACUUAACACAGACAACAUCCAAGCUAAACUCAAACUCACUGCAAAUCCAACUGUAUUAUGGUCUGAUGAGACCAAUUUCAAACGUUUUAGCGACUCCAUAAUUCCAAAACAUGUGGUUGGUGCAAGAAAAAGCACAAAACCUAACCCAUGGUGAAGCACGGUGGUGGCAGCGUUGUG
ensembl:lncRNA